UUCUGCUCUUGGUCGACUGUGAGCUGCAGUAGCGUGCGAGAGGUGGGAGUCGACGCCCAGGCGGUCAGCUGCGAGGUGGCCGACGCUCGCCAAGUUGGCCAGCACAUGAUCAGUGAGCGAGUCCCAGAUCCAUGAAGAAGACACCGACAUGCUCCAUACUAUUUUCUACUUCGCUGAUCCUAUUCAGGUAACACAUGAUCAAAUUAUAGGAAGGCUCUGUGAUGAUCGCCCCGACCGAGGAGAAUCCACAUUAUCUGAAUAUUCACUUGGACUGCUCAAUUUAUAUGCCUUGUUAUCAUGUUGCACGUGAUCACUAAAUGUUUAAAGGAGUGCUUUCUCAGACAGUUUGUUUAUUUGUCCUUAAGUGCUGUACUGGGUCAAAUGUUGUGCCAGGGAAGGAGGAUGGUGUAUCUGAGAACAAAAACGAUGGUUAAUAUGUGCGGACAUACGAAGAAGACAAGGAUGGGCAUUGGAUGCUGGUUGCUGACGUUCCAUGGGAGUAAUUACACUGUCUGAUGUACUCAAAAAACAAUCCGUAGGAGAGCGUAAUUGCUGAAAACAAGUGCAGAAAGGAGAAUUUUAGAAGAUAGUUUGGAUUCUGUAGUAAACCUGUAAUGAAUGAUCAAUUACAAGAGUGUGGCACUUUUUUUAUUGUAAUUAUUUCACAGAACAUGUUCAUUUUAUCUGGAAGAGUUCUGUGAAGCAGGCACGAACAUGUUCAUUUACAGAACAAGUUCAUUUUGAUUGUACUUAGACUUCCAGAUAAAAUGAACUUGUUCUGUAAAGCAUGCAGGAACUCUUCCAGCCCUUCUACUCAUUGCUUAAGUAAUGCAGAUUGUUGCUU